UACGGAGGGUGCGAGCGUUGUCCGGAAUCAUUGGGCGUAAAGGGCGCGUAGGUGGCUUCUCAAGCGUGCGGUGAAAGCCUGGGGCUCAACCCCGGGUCGGCCGUGCGAACUGGGGGGCUGGAGCACUGUAGAGGCAGGCGGAAUUCCGGGUGUAGCGGUGGAAUGCGUAGAGAUCCGGAAGAACACCGGUGGCGAAGACGGCCUGCUGGGCAGUUGCUGACACUGAGGCGCGACAGCGUGGGGAGCAAACAGG
rnacentral:rRNA from 1 species